rnacentral:rRNA from 1 species
AUUGAACGCUGGCGGCAGGCCUAACACAUGCAAGUCGAGCGGAUGAAGGGAGCUUGCUCUCUGAUUCAGCGGCGGACGGGUGAGUAAUGCCUAGGAAUCUGCCUGAUAGUGGGGGACAACGUUUCGAAAGGAACGCUAAUACCGCAUACGUCCUACGGGAGAAAGCAGGGGACCUUCGGGCCUUGCGCUAUCAGAUGAGCCUAGGUCGGAUUAGCUAGUUGGUGAGGUAAUGGCUCACCAAGGCGACGAUCCGUAACUGGUCUGAGAGGAUGAUCAGUCACACUGGAACUGAGACACGGUCCAGACUCCUACGGGAGGCAGCAGUGGGGAAUAUUGGACAAUGGGCGAAAGCCUGAUCCAGCCAUGCCGCGUGUGUGAAGAAGGUCUCCGGAUUGUAAAGCACUUUAAGUUGGGAGGAAGGGCAUUAACCUAAUACGUUAGUGUUUUGACGUUACCGACAGAAUAAGCACCGGCUAACUUCGUGCC